CGCAUAUCAAUAAGCGGAGGAAAAGAAACCAACAGGGAUUGCCCCAGUAACGGCGAGUGAAGCGGCAACAGCUCAAAUUUGAAAUCUGGCCCCAGGCCCGAGUUGUAAUUUGCAGAGGAUGCUUUUGGCGCGGUGCCUUCCGAGUUCCCUGGAACGGGACGCCAUAGAGGGUGAGAGCCCCGUACGGUUGGACACCAAGCCUUUGUAAAGCUCCUUCGACGAGUCGAGUAGUUUGGGAAUGCUGCUCAAAAUGGGAGGUAUAUUUCUUCUAAAGCUAAAUAUUGGCCAGAGACCGAUAGCGCACAAGUAGAGUGAUCGAAAGAUGAAAAGCACUUUGAAAAGAGGGUUAAACAGCACGUGAAAUUGUUAAAAGGGAAGCGCUUGUGACCAGACUUGCGCCCGGUGAAUCACCCAGCUCUCGCGGCUGGGGCACUUCGCCGGCACAGGCCAGCAUCAGCUCGCUGUCGGGGACAAAAGCUUCGGGAACGUAGCUCUCUUCGGGGAGUGUUAUAGCCCGUUGCAUAAUACCCUUCGGUGGGCUGAGGUACGCGUUCGCAAGGAUGCUGGCGUAAUGGUCAUCAGCGACCCGUCUUGAAACACGGACCAAGGAGUCAACCUUAUGUGCGAGUGUUUGGGUGUUAAACCCCUACGCGUAAUGAAAGUGAACGCAGGUGAGAGCUUCGGCGCAUCAUCGACCGAUCCUGAUGUUCUCGGAUGGAUUUGAGUAAGAGCAUAUAGGGUUGGACCCGAAAGAAGGUGAACUAUGCGUGUAUAGGGUGAAGCCAGAGGAAACUCUGGUGGAGGCUCGCAGCGGUUCUGACGUGCAAUCGAUCGUCAAAUAUGCGCAUGGGGGCGAAAGACUAAUCGAACCUUCUAGUAGCUGGUUUCCGCCGAA
rnacentral:rRNA from 1 species